rnacentral:rRNA from 1 species
GAUGAACGCUGGCGGCGUGCUUAACACAUGCAAGUCGAACGGAAAGGCCCAAGCUUGCUUGGGUACUCGAGUGGCGAACGGGUGAGUAACACGUGGGUGAUCUGCCCUGCACUUCGGGAUAAGCCUGGGAAACUGGGUCUAAUACUGGAUAGGACCACUUCUUGGAUGUUGUGGUGGAAAGUUUUUUCGGUGUGGGAUGAGCUCGCGGCCUAUCAGCUUGUUGGUGGGGUAAUGGCCUACCAAGGCGUCGACGGGUAGCCGGCCUGAGAGGGUGUACGGCCACAUUGGGACUGAGAUACGGCCCAGACUCCGACGGGAGGCAGCAGUGGGGAAUAUUGCACAAUGGGCGCAAGCCUGAUGCAGCGACGCCGCGUGGGGGAUGACGGCCUUCGGGUUGUAAACUCCUUUCGCUAGGGACGAAGCGUUUUGUGACGGUACCUGGAGAAGAAGCACCGGCUAACUACGUG